UCAUUACGAUUAAAUCGUUAUUUUUAUACGAAGAGUGAAUGAUUUGUUAAGAUUUGACAGUUAUUUGCGAUUGUCUUCGAAUUGUGUAAAGUUUUAUGUUCAUGGCUUAUGUCAAAAACUUACGAUGGGUCUUGAGUCACCUUUGAUCGUAAAACGGACAAAUUGUGGAUGUCCAAAAUUCCAAAAUAAUAAUUCAUAUUUUAUUAAAUAUCUAAAAUUAAUAUUUUUUUCCAUUCUAAAUCUCUCAAUUCAGUCUCCCCGUCCACAGUUAGCAUUUUUAGGACGAAACUUUGCGAAGUGUUUUGUUUGUAAACAAUGAACUCUGUUAAACAGAGUAAUAAAUAAUAUAUUCUUUGCAAUGAACCUAUAAAGUCAAAACAAUGAAGUUAAUUGAGUGCUAUUAAUCGAUUUAUAUAGGAUGCUGAGACUUGGACUCUGAGAGAAAGUGAGAAAAAGAAUAUACACGCUCUAGAAAUGUGUUGAAGAAGAAUGCUUGCAUAUCCUGGAUAUAGAAAAACAUCCUCAUAUAGAAAAACUGUCAGGAUAUUUGGAAUAUGCCCUAUAACUGCAGACUCCAAUAUUGCAAAACGCACCUGCAACACAGUAGAAUAACUAACAUAUUGGUGUGCUGAAGAAAAGAUGGCAAAGGCUUUUAGCUGAUAGGACAUUGUACUGAUGACCCUGUUAUCUGGUCAAAUCAUAAAUGUGUGUGUAUUAUCAAAAUAUUUGCAUAGAUUGUGAAAUGCUGAUGAUAUUUGAUUUGGUCUUUGAUAUUUGAAAAUAAAAGAAUACUUACUUCGCUGA